UAACAUUGCCAGGGACCUCUGCGAUGC
rnacentral:piRNA from 1 species